UUUUUGCAUGUGUGUUUCAUUUUAAUAGGCUUCUGUAUUUCUGCAGCGGUUACACUAGAGUGGAAGAUUGCUUUAUCUUACUUUCCAGAUCGGAUUUCCACUCUUUCCUUUUCAUCCUGUCUGCCUGUCAUCUUGAAGGGGGUUUCCCCCGGACACCUGGCAGUGAAUAAAGUUCUCUAUGCCUCCCUUUCCCCAUUCAUCUGCUGAGGAAAUUUGGGAGCUUCUUAAAAGCUCCAUUUCUGAAAGCAAGGAUUUUGUUUUGUUCACUGCCUUAUUCACAACACUGAACAGAGCGCCUGGCACGAAGAAAUUGCUCAGUAAGUAUUUGUUGAAUAAAUGAGUUCUUUUCUUCAUCCAGUUUCAAUGGAACAGACACUACCAGACAAAGAGGGAGAUAUCAUGGGGGUCAAAUAUUCAGAAAUUGUUGUCAUUCCUAGUAUCGGCUCUAUAUAGGCAUUUUAAUCCUAGCAACAUUCCUAGAAUUAUUUUGAAUUUUAUAGAAGACAAACAAGUCUAUAGAAUGUUGUGCUGAACAAUGACUCUUAAAUAUUCAUAAAAAAUCAUUUUUAAUUAACUUGGGAUUACAAGACCCUGGAGUCCAUCUUAGGGCUGAAGUCUUUUUAGGCAAACACCACACUUUCAUAAGGUGCCCAUAAGCUGUAUAGAAGAAAAAAUAUUUUACAUUAAAAAUGUAACUGCUGGGGUGCCUGGGUGGUGAGGUUGGUUAAGCCUCAGACCCUUGGUUUUGGCUCAGGUCAUGAUCUCAGAAUCAUGAGACAGAGUUCCGUAUGGAGCUCCACACUCAGCACAGAGUCUGCUUAAGUUUCUCUUUCCCUCUGUUACUCCCUCACCUUCCAAAAUAAAUGAAUAAAUCUUAAAAAAAAAGUAACAUCUCUUUUUAUUUAAGAAUAAAAUUAUCCUUCAAAUUAAAUUCAAACUAGUCUAGGCAGUGAAAUGAAUUGCACAAUAUCAAUCCUAAAAGAGAAAACUUCCUCCUCAGUGGGCAUGGAAUGGGUUUAACUACCACAACCUUUUAACCUUGGUUUAAAUAACUAAAAACCAAAUAACUUUGCUAGUAACCAUUUCAGUAAUGUGGCCAAAGAGGUGCAUAGCGGACAGAUGUUUCUUUGAAGAUUUGUAGUGCCACCAACUUUUCUUAAUGCCUGGGUGAGGCAGUUCCCAGGACUGCCUUUUGGCAGUAAUGUGAAGAGGUUAGGAGGUUUUGGUAUCACUUCUAGUUCUUAGUCAUUUAAGGCAACAAUCCAAUGAGUGAGGAAACAUCCACUCACCUGGAUCAACAUGAAAUCUAAGACUCACCUAAGGAAAUUCUCAGUUAAAAGAUUAAUUGAAUGUCUUAACUGGAAAGGGAAGAUAGCAGAGAAGUUGCAGGACAACUGGUAGGUAACCAGUUAGCUGAUGCAAAUCAUGCUUAUGACCUAGCACCAGGAAGCAGUGAACCUACUGUUUGCAGAUGGCAGCUUGCCGAACCCCACCUUGGUUCUCGUAGCAGUUGACACCCCGUCUUGAAGCAGAUCUUUUCUGUGAAGUCAGAUGGGGCAGAGGAUGACAGCUCUAAAAAAUGAAAAAAAGCAAGAGGUUCAAUAAGAAAGAUGUUUUGUUGUUAUGUUUUGUUGGUUUUCUGGGGAUAGAGGUGAAAUGAAGAGCUAAUACUGUCCUCCUGGAGGAGUCACCAGGAAAACACUGACUCUACCAGGUACCGGCAUUUGGAGAGAAGAAAAGCAACUCAGCCAUUCAUGCCACUGCCAUUUACUUAAUAUGCACCAGACCCCGUUCAGAGGUGGAACAGAUCCCCCUCCCUCAUGAUGCUCACAUUCUAUUUUUUUUUAAAUAUUUUAUUUAUUUAUUCAUGAGAGAUACACACAGAGAGACAGAGGCAGAGACACAGGCAAAGGGAGAAGCAGGCUCCAUGCAAGUAGCCUGAUGUGGGACUUGAUCCCGGGUCUCCAGGAUCACACCCUGAGCUGCAGGCGGCACUAAACAACUGCACCACCCGGGCUGCCCCGAUGCUCACAUUCUAAUGCGGAAACAAACAGGCAGAUAAACAUGAAGACUGUGAGAAAUGCCACCCAGAGAGGUCAAUCAGAAUCAGAGCAAGGCUGAUGUGGCUCAUGUAGCGCAAGUGGUCAGGGAUGCUGAGGGGAUGCUAUUUAGGACAAUAAUAGUAGGGGAUAUGGGGGGUCGGGGUGGGAAACCAGGGAAGAAGAACAUCGCAGGCCAAAGGGGCAGCUAGUUCAAAAGUCCUGAGGCAGGAAUGAACCAGGCAGGUUUGAAGAAUGGAAAGGCAGGCACUGCUAAAAGCACUCUGAUCAGAGGAGCAGAGAAGCUAAGCAGAGGAGAGAGGCUGGGGUGCUGAGAGCUUUGCAGGCCAGGUGGAGGGACUGCCCACACGUAGCACAGAGGAUCCCCAUGCUGCUAGGAGGUGUACACUCUGUUGGUUCCUAAGACAAUGCUGGAGGAUUCUCUUUGAAAUACAUACAGCUGCUGUAAUUUUUUAAUGGAUUUUUUCAGACUUUAACUAUUUAUAACUUGCUAUUAAUGAUAGUAUAAUAAUAUAUUCAGCUUAUAUAUUUUUUUAAAAAAAGAUUUUAAUUAUUUGAGAGAGAGCAAGUGAGAAAGAGAGAGCAUGAGCUCGGGGAGGAAGGGGCAGAGGGAGAAGGAGAAGCAUACUC
rnacentral:lncRNA from 1 species